UUAGUCCACAGGAAACUUAAAAUGGCCUGGGUAGCUUUGGAUGUGGAGUAGUUAAAGGCCCUUGAGGAGGGAUGAGAAGCUGAUCUGACAAGAAGAGAGCAGUGGUUCAUUCCUGGACAAGAAGACAAAUGAACAAUUGAGGGAAAGAGCAGCUUCUGGAAAGAUUUGUGCCCGAACAGAGUUACAUCGUAUACACUCUGGACACAAAGGAGAGCUGUCCUUGAGCCUCGACUCUGGGUGAGCCCUCUGGGUCUUAGAUUUGAGAUGCAAUUUUCAAACUUGAAGAUCACGGUGAGCAGAGAGAUCUCUGAGCUACUGCCAAUCCUAAUGUCCCUUGUAUUGAGCGUUGA
rnacentral:lncRNA from 1 species